UCUCAAUUCGCUUCUUCCCCUUCGCUUC
rnacentral:sRNA from 1 species